rnacentral:rRNA from 1 species
AUAUAGGACGUCCAACUUAACUUGGAGUCCGAACUCUCACUUUCUAACCCUGUGCACUUGUUUGGGAUAGUAACUCUCGCAAGAGAGCGAACUCCUAUUCACUUAUAAACACAAAGUCUAUGAAUGUAUUAAAUUUUAUAACAAAAUAAAACUUUCAACAACGGAUCUCUUGGCUCUCGCAUCGAUGAAGAACGCAGCGAAAUGCGAUAAGUAAUGUGAAUUGCAGAAUUCAGUGAAUCAUCGAAUCUUUGAACGCACCUUGCGCUCCAUGGUAUUCCGUGGAGCAUGCCUGUUUGAGUGUCAUGAAUACUUCAACCCUCCUCUUUCUUAAUGAUUGAAGAGGUGUUUGGUUUCUGAGCGCUGCUGGCCUUUACGGUCUAGCUCGUUCGUAAUGCAUUAGCAUCCGCAAUCGAACUUCGGAUUGACUUGGCGUAAUAGACUAUUCGCUGAGGAAUUCUAGUCUUCGGAUUAGAGCCGGGUUGGGUUAAAGGAAGCUUCUAAUCAGAAUGUCUACAUUUUAAGAUUAGAUCUCAAAUCAGGUAGGACUACCCGCUGAACUUAAGCAUAUCAAUAAGCGGAGGAAAAGAAACUAACAAGGAUUCCCCUAGUAGCGGCGAGCGAAGCGGGAAGAGCUCAAAUUUAUAAUCUGGCACCUUCGGUGUCCGAGUUGUAAUCUCUAGAAAUGUUUUCCGCGUUGGACCGCACACAAGUCUGUUGGAAUACAGCGGCAUAGUGGUGAGACCCCCGUAUAUGGUGCGGACGCCCAGCGCUUUGUGAUACAUUUUCGAAGAGUCGAGUUGUUUGGGAAUGCAGCUCAAAUUGGGUGGUAAAUUCCAUCUAAAGCUAAAUAUUGGCGAGAGACCGAUAGCGAACAAGUACCGUGAGGGAAAGAUGAAAAGCACUUUGGAAAGAGAGUUAACAGUACGUGAAAUUGUUGGAAGGGAAACGCUUGAAGUCAGACUUGCUUGCCGAGCAAUCGGUUUGCAGGCCAGCAUCAGUUUUCCGGGAUGGAUAAUGGUAGAGAGAAGGUAGCAGUUUCGGCUGUGUUAUAGCUCUCUGCUGGAUACAUCUUGGGGGACUGAGGAACGCAGUGUGCCUUUGGCGGGGGUUUCGAC